CCAGGAAGCCUGGCUUCCUGUCGUGAUCAGUUUGAGGACCGCCUGCAGAAAUGCAGACUCAGCAAAGCGGCGCUCACCACGGGAGAGCCUGCAAAAGGUCAGGGGGAAGGGAGGCAAAGGCAGCCCCACAGAGGUGCCCUGCAUAUUCACACACAGACACGCUGGAAGCAUCCGGCACAGAGCAGAAAAGGUGGUAGAUCUAAGACUGAAAAGCAAAAGCAACAAGGGUGAGCCCGGAGAACAUUAUGUUACUGGAUGUGUGCUGCCCUGGGAGCCAUGUGCCUUGAGGCAAGGCAGCUCUGCACCUGAGACAGAUCCUGAAGGAGCUGGAAGCUGGAGGCUGUGUGUGGAUCACUGCAUGGCUGAGCAGAAAGUCCCUUCUUGAGGGCAUCUAGGUGUACAAUAUAGUGAUUCAACAAUUCUAUACAUUUCUCAGUGCUCAUCACGGUAAGCCUAUUUUUAAUCCGCAUCACCCAUUUCCCACAUCCUCCCACCCACCUACCCUCUGGUAACCAUCAGUAUGUUCUCUAUAGUUAAGAGUCUGUUUCUUGAUUUGUCUUUUUACUUUGCUUGUUUGUUUUGUUUCUUAAACCCCAUAUACAAGUGAAACACAGUCUCUUUCUCUGACUUAUUUUGCUUAGCAUUAUACUCUUUAGCUCUAUCCAUGUUGUUGCAA